rnacentral:rRNA from 1 species
UACUAGAGUAGCACUCGCAUAUCAAUAAGCGGAGGAAAAGAAACUAACAAGGAUUCCCCUAGUAACGGCGAGUGAAGCGGGGAAGAGCUCAAAUUUGAAAUCUUAAAGGGUUUCCCUUUACGAAUUGUAGUUUAAAGAAGUGUUUUCUGUUGAGGUUUUGGUAAAAGUUCUUUGGGAUAGGACAUCAUAGAGGGUGAGAAUCCCGUAUUUGACCUUUACUUUCAACUUUGUGAUACACUUUCAAAGAGUCGGACUGUUUGGGAAUGCAGUCCAAAAUGGGUGGUCAAAUUUCAUCUAAAGCUAAAUAUUGGCGAUGAGACCGAUAGCGAACAAGUACCGUGAGGGAAAGAUGAAAAGAACUUUGAAAAGAGAGUUAAACAGUACGUGAAAUUGUCAAAAGGGAAGCGUUUGACACCAGUGUUGUUUUUCUGAAAAUCAAUUAAAGAACUGUUUAUGCUAAGUUGUUUAGACUUUAUCAGCUAACUGUUUAGUUUUGAGCUUUUCUUUAAUGCACUUUUCAGUUAACAAGUCAACAUCAAUUUCUUUUGCUGUAAAAAAGCUUGAGGAAGGUGGCUUGAGAUUCGUCUUAAGUGUUUAUAGCCUCUUGCCUAUGCAGUCGGAGAGAUUGAGGUCUGCAGCGUAGAUCCUUCGGGGCUAAAUGCAUUUGUGCUAAGUUAUAGCAUUUUAUAGACAACUUGUUGACUAUGAUUUGUCUUGUAGCUUACUCGCUUAUGUUAUUUUACCUACGCUUAGGAUGUUGAGUAGCGACAUACGCAC